UACGUAGGGGGCAAGCGUUAUCCGGAUUUACUGGGUGUAAAGGGAGCGUAGACGGCAGCGCAAGUCUGGAGUGAAAUGCCGGCCCAACCCCGGAACUGCUUUGGAAACUGUGCGGCUCGAGUGCGGGAGAGGUAGGCGGAAUUCCUAGUGUAGCGGUGAAAUGCGUAGAUAUUAGGAGGAACACCAGUGGCGAAGGCGGCUUUCUGGACUGUAACUGACGUUGAGGCGCGAAAGCGUGGGGAGCAAAC
rnacentral:rRNA from 1 species